rnacentral:rRNA from 1 species
UACGGAAGGCAGCAGUGGGGAAUAUUGCACAAUGGGCGAAAGCCUGAUGCAGCUAUGCCGCGUGUAUGAAGAAGGCCUUAGGGUUGUAAAGUACUUUCAUCGGGGAGGAAAAAACAAAACUAAUAAUUUUAUUUCUUGACGUUACCUGAAAAAGAAGCACCGGCUAACUCCGUGCCAGCAGCCGCGGUAAUACGGAGGGUGCUAGCGUUAAUCAGAAUUACUGGGCGUAAAGAAGCACGUAGGUGGUUUUUUUAAGUUCAGAUGUGAAAUCCCUGGGCUUAACCUAGGAACUGCAUUUUGAAACUGAAAUACUAGAGUAUCGUAGAGGGAGGUAGAAUUCUAGGUGUAGCGGUGAAAUGCGUAGAUAUCUGGAGGAAUACCUGUGGCGAAAGCGGGCCUCCUAAACGAAUACUGACACUGAGGUGCGAAAGCGUGGGGAGCAAACGAGGAUUAGAUACC